ensembl:lncRNA
AGUGUAUUCAGACUGAGCUGUUUGGUGUGCACAUGUGUGCUGCAGUGUACUCAGACUGAGCUGUUUGGUGUGCACAUGUGUGCUGCAGUGUACUCAGACUGAGCUGUUUGGUGUGCACAUGUGUGCUGCAGUGUUUACAGCGCGGCGCGGCCACCGACACAAACGCUUAAAGGAAUCAUGGUGUUCAUGUGUUUCUUUUAAUGACAGCAGUCAAUAUAACAACUGAACAAUUAUUUUAACUGUACAUUGAACUAAACAUCGGAACAUGUCUUUUUAUGACAAUUAUCCCCAAAGUGUGCAGCUUUUGUCACUGCAGUUUACCUUUUUGGCCUUCUGGAAGAAAAUGUUUUGAGAUAUUUGCGGCCUAAAUUUCCUGAUUUCGCAGGAGUUUUUCCAAAAAGUUCCGAUGAAAGUUUUUAUUUGUAGGUGUUUUUUGCAAUGAAAUUGCCGAAAACAAGUGAAAGUUGGGAUAUAAAGUUGCGAAUUGUCCUCUUUGUAAUUAUAAUUGAAUUAUUUGUUGAAAAAUAACUGAUUAAUAAACAAACAUUAAUUCAUCAAGAACAAAACGAUUGAGAAAUGGUCCUCUUAAUAACCUCACCAAUAUGCCAAACAAAAGAUUACCAGGACUACAAAAAUUUUGCAGAUUAGGCUUUACUUAUCCACAACGAAGUGCACAUGUUGGCAUUACAAAAGGACCAUCAGUAAGACUGAAUAAAAUGUUAUGAAUGUCUCAGCCUUCAUAUGACGAAAAAAGACUAUGAUCUGUCCUGUCAUCUAACGUCCGGCCUGUGUUUCUGCCGUUCUCAUUCUAUGCUUAUCAAUCUGUUUUGCUAUCCUUGUUUAUUUAUUUUAUCCCUAUAGGUGUUAAUGUUCAAUUUCAUAUAUUAAUUUAAAGUCGUCCAAUUUAAAGUCAUCCAUUCUUCAACACUAGCUGCUACCUUAUCUUCAAACAGAAAGUAACGUUAAAUCUCCAUGGCAACAGCUCUUGAGGGUUUGGGAAAUAAUCAGAUGUAUUGCUUCCUUCAUUAUUCACAGCA